CAGCUCAGGGCCCAGAGCAGAGGGGAGCAGGCAGAGGCAGGGCCUUGGGGCCCAGGAUGGAGGAGGACCAGGCACAGCUGGGGCCAGCUCAGGGCCCAGAGCAGAGGGGGACCAGGCACAGCUGAGGCCACUGCAGGGCCCAGUUCCAACCAGGUGGACUCGCAGUGUCUUGCAAGUGACACCUGGAAGCAGGUACAGACUGGAGACACAGCACCCUCAAUGUCCAGGUGAGUAACAGCAGCCAAGGAGGCCUUUGGGCUCUGCAGGGUCCAAGUGUGGAGCAUUACACAGUGGCAGAGCUGCAGAGCUUGCCAUAGUAGGGAGGCACAGUGGCUCAGCUCAUUUCCCACAGUAACACAGGAAAUAAGAGCCAUGAGGGAAAUGCAGAUGCCUUCUGCCUUCCUCUUUUGUCUCAUGCCUUCUGCCCCCAUCAGAGGGGAGGAAUGAGCUGCACUUCCACAGAGACAUUCCUCUCACAGCCACUCACACCUCAGGUGUGGAGGGACGAGCUGGGGCUGCUGGUGGCAGCUGUGGAACACUGCCAUCUGUGGUGCUCCAUCCUACCCUGGAGGUGGGCAUGUAGAGCUGAGGACCUUUGUCACUGCACAAAUGACUGCAAGCAGAGAUGUAGCAGAGGGAACACAAAGCAUUUAAUAACUUAUCAUACAAAGCAAUGAGUAAUAGAAAUGACAAUAUUUCCAACCAAAUAUCCCCCAUCCUAACAGUCAUAUCUGAUCUCUACAAUCCCACCCAAACAAUUUCCCAGCCCCCUCCAAUUCCUCCUCACUAUCCCACCCCUGAAUUUCCCUCCCCCAAUUCCCACACAGUAAUUGCCCACACUAAUUACCAGCAUGCAGGGCAUGGGGAACACCUGUUCCUUGUGUGCAGACACCUG